rnacentral:sRNA from 1 species
GCUGGGCGCGGUGGUGCACGCCUGUAAUCCCAGCAGUCUGGGAGGCUGAGGCAAGAGGAUCGCAAGUUCAAAGCCAGCCUCAG